CUUAGAUCUUUGAUGCUCAAAUCUAGAUCACUUAAUUCUCAAUUAAGUUUUGGACCGACGUAGGUUCGGGUUUGAUGUUUGAAAAUAAUUUUUAAUUUUAUAAAUAUUUUUACAAUCAAUUAUCUAAUGAUCAAAAUUUUAAUUUUAGAUCUGAUAUAUAUUAUUUCAGAUUUAAAAUAAAAUUUUAAAUUUUUUUUCAUUAUUCAUCAUCAUGGAAAAGAUCGCGUAGUACCCC
rnacentral:lncRNA from 1 species